AUAUUACUUAUAACUGUUGUUGACACUUCUCUUACUUGUAUUUGACUCGCUUCUGUUGUUUAUUUACUUUAUAGGAAUGGUUUAAUGUCUUCGAAAAAGUCCGUUAGCAUUUCUACCGUUUUCAGGCGACGUAUCGUCAGAGUGACAAAAUAAUCCUUCUACAACAGAAGGGAGUGUCCAAGAUUUCGAUAUUUCUGAAGGGAGCUGCUGACAGAGAUGUAGGAAGCGCUGAAAAGUGCUGAUGGCCUGCUGCAUCCAGCAGAGUCGGAGUGAACCUACUGUAAGACAACAUCUCAAAGAUGCUAUUGACCACAAGACUAGUACAGGUUAUUAGAAACUGCACAGCACAGGACUUGUGAGGACUUCAGAUGAUACCAGUACUCAAAAGACCUUAGAUAAUGGCAACUAUAGAUGGACAUACAAACUACCGCCACUGCAAAAAAGAUUCUAAUUUGAAAGAAGUUUAUAAUGCAUGUUCGCUACUCCCAAUUCAGAAGACUGAAUCAGCCUGUGUAUCUGAAUGUUUCUCAUACUCACUCCUCUCUGCCGCGUCUCACAG